rnacentral:rRNA from 1 species
GGUCAAGCUAUAAAGUGAAAACUCGUUC